AUAUCCAGGCAGCGUAAGGAUUUCGCUUCUGACCUUUGACCACGGAUGUACUGGCGGCGGUCAUUGAGGCGUAUCAGAGAAGGUCGGGCUUGCCCGGCCUUUUUCAUU
rnacentral:sRNA from 1 species